CCGGUUUGGGGGUUGGACUCACGUGUCAGGGUUUCCAGGGCUCUACCGGCUCCUGCGGUCUUGUGAUGGAGGUGCUGGUCCCCUGGAAGGACGAAGCAGGUGGGCGCUGCCGCUGCGCGUCCGAGAGGGGUGGUGUCUGAGAGCUGUGCUCGACGACACGGAUCAAAGCUUUUGUGCGCCCUUCUCCUGUCUAGCCCGAAUCUACUCUGCAGGGUCCUGCAGUCGUCUUAGGAUGAGUUGCCGCAGUCCCUGCCCGCAUUUGCUUUACGAGACAGUCUCACGGAGGAAUGGGUACUACCCAGGCAGCCUCCCUCCCUGUCCAAAGAUCGGACUCCACGAAACCACUGAGUUUGUGCCUUAUAACAUAUGGGAAAAGCAAGAGAGAAUGAAAAAGCUCUCAGCCAGCUGGGGUUGCCUGAGAAUCUAGGUAAGAACUGAGACUCUGACUCCAAAUAUGUUAUGUGUAAAGAACUCUUCAUAACAUUGGCUGUUGAUUUGAUGCUACUGGAAACUGACGUGGUCCCCUGCAACCGACAUAGACUGAAAGUGUGUUCUGUUUAAAACAGGCAAUUUUUCAGACAGUCAUGGGUAUCCGAGGACUAAUGAGUUUUGUGGAAGAUCACAGUAAUGAGUUCUUCACCGAUUUGAAGUUGCGAGACACAAAAAUUAUCAUUGAUGGCUAUGCCCUCUUCCACCGGCUUUGUUUCAGUUCAGACUUGGAUCUCCAGUAUGGAGGGGACUAUGAUUCUUUUGCAGAUGUUGUACAAAAAUUCUUUGAAUCACUAUUUGCAUGUAAGAUCUGUCCCUAUGUUGUGUUAGAUGGAGGAUGUGAUAUUUCAGAUAAAAAGCUAACAACGUUAAAGGAUCGUGCUAGAGAGAAGAUCCAAAUGGCCCACUCACUCUCUGUGGGCAGCGGUGGGUAUGUGUGUCCCUUGCUCAUCCGGGAAGUAUUCAUCCAGGUUCUGAACAGGCUGCAGGUGCCUUUCGUCCAGUGCUUUUCAGAAGCAGACCGGGACAUUAUGACUCUGGCUAAUCACUGGAACUGCCCCGUGUUGUCGUCGGAUAGUGACUUUUGCAUUUUUGACCUGAAAGGUGGGUUUUGCCCAUUGAACAGCUUUCAGUGGAGAAACGUGAGCACAAUUAAGGGCACCGGAGACCGCUACAUCCCUGCCAAGUGCUUUUCACUUGAUGCACUCUGCCGUCACUUCAGCAACAUGAAUAAAGCUCUGCUACCUCUCUUGGCAGUGCUGUGCGGAAAUGACCACGUUAACCUGCCUGUCGUGGAGACAUUCCUCAGUAAAGUACGCCUUCCCCCCGGAGCUGCCGGUUCUAAGGGGAGGAGACACCACCGGGUGCUGGGACUGCUGAACUGGUUGUCUCACUUUGCUGGCCCUGCCGAAGCACUCAACCAGGUUCUGAAACAGCUCCCCAAGAAGAGUCGAGGAGAUGUCAGGGAGCUCCUGUGCUGCUCCAUGGAGGAGUACCUGCAGUCCCAGGUGAAGCUGCAGGACUUCUUCCAGCAUGGUGCCUACUCCUGCCCGGACGCCUGCGGUCUGGGUCUCCCGCAGUGGGUGCUAGCGGCCUUGGCCAGAGGCCAGCUGUCCCCCUUCAUCAGCGAUGCUUUGGUGCUGAGACGGACCAUUCUGCACACACAGGUGGAAAACAUGCAGCAACCAAACGCCCACAGAGUCUCUCUGCCCAUCCGGCAGGUCAUCUAUGGGCUUCUGGCGAAUGCUUCCCCCCGUCUGGAAGACACGUCUGGGAACGCCCCGCCUCCUCAGCCUCUGGCUUUCAGGGAGGUGGAGAGGUUUCAUAAAAACAUCAAAACAUCAAUUGUUGCUGCAGUAGAACUGCCCAAGGAUCAUUGUGACUUAAGCAGAUUGACCGAGCUCUCAGUGGCGAGCCGGCAGGCCCUCCUGUUAGAAGCGCUGAAGGUAAGGCCAGCUGUCCUGGACCCCGUCCCCGCCUCCUUGAAGUUGCCUAUCGCUGUCAGCUGCUACUGGUUGCAGCAGGCGGAGGCCAAGGUGAGACUGCAUCACCUCCAGGCCCUGCUGCUGGGGAUGCUGCUGGGGCCCCUGCGCACUGUGGCCCACGGCCCUGGUAGGUGUCUGGGGAUCCCAGGGGUGAGUUUCCUCAUGCUACUUGUGUACAGUCAGAAGUUUAAACAGACAGACAGAAAGGUGGCCUCAGACUACUUCAUCAGUUCUGUCAGAGCCUCCAAGUGGAGGCACCGGAGUAAGCGCCCGUUCCUCGAGGAGGAACUUGAGCACUUCCUGGUGCCGGCCAGAGCCGGAGGGCUGGACCCUGAGGGCUCGGCUGUGAGGCCGCGUCCCCCACUCUGUGCCCAUGCUCCCGUCUGCCGGGUGUGCCUGUGCCACCUGUGGUGGCUUUGUGUCCCCGUCUCCAGAGCAGCAGCCGCACCAAUGGGAAUGUCUGCACAGCUGCCCCUCGGGGAGACUUCCCCCGACCCACAAUCACAGUAAACAUUCUUGCUGUUUUCCCUUUUUCCUCCACUAUAAGUUUCAAUUAGUAUGUAAGUAGUGGUGGUAGAAAUUGUAACUUCUCUAUUAGGGAAACGGAUGUUAGGCAGUUCCGCCUUCAGCAGAGUGUCGGUGCACUGGGGCGCUUCAGCGCUCGUUACAGGACUGUGAGCGCCCCUGCGCUGCGUCUCACCUGUGGGUGUAGUAGUGGUCACAUUCCAGAACCGCACUGCUGACGUGACAGCUGCUGGCCACACGUGGCUGUUUAAAGUGAAUUAAAACCCAGCUUCCCGGUACAAGGGCUGCGCAUCCAGUGUGCGAGGCCGCCAUAUCAGGCGCCCAGACGAGGCGGGCCAGCGCUGGGUCGGUGCCCUGGCGCUGUGCGAGGAGCUGCAGGGGGCCAGGGCGCCGCCGGGCCCGGGGCUGGACCUGGACGCGGCCCACACCUUCUGCCAGUGGCAGUGCUGUCUGCAGAUGGGGCU